UAAUUUUGAUAAAAUUAUUAAAGAUAUAAUAAAUUUUAUAUUAUACAAGUGAAAAAUCAUAUCAACAUAGCUUAAAAGCUACAGCAGCUAGUGUUUACCAAACACUUUAGUGCUGUAGCUUUUAAGCUACAGCUGCCCAACCUCAAUCCCAAACGCACCCUAAGUUGAUAAUUACUUGAUUUUCGCAUUCACCCGAUUUCUAUCGGUUAUGGCCUAUGGGCUUGAACUAAAAGGAUUAGUUCAAUAAAACAAAAUGAUGGUUAGGACUUAAAUAUCGCAAGAACCAUUUCAAGAAUUUUUUUUUUAAUAAUUAAAGGUUGGGGAAGUUGUCACAUUAUGGUUUCCUUAUCACAUUAUGGCUUCCAAUUUUUUAUUAUUGAUUGUAGUUUUCAAUUGAUUCUUAGCAUGCACUCUCAUGCAAUUUAGAUAUAAAUACUAGAGAUGAUUAUAACUUUCAAUACAAGCAAAUUUAUUUAUUGCUACGUAUAUGGGUUUUAAUACAUUAUUAUGGUGUUAAAGAAACGAAGUGUGCUUUGCUAUCCAACUGGCUUAAUGGUUAUUAAUUGUCCUCUUAAAAAUAUAAUUUUUCAAGGCCAUAACCCCACUUCACAUGGGUUAAAAUCUUUUAUCUUCAUCAACCUAGAUUCUUGCAUUCAUCUUUGGCUCCACCACCAACAACAAGAAACAGAAAUAAAAGUUUUCCUUUUUAAAAUAAUUACAAGUGAAAGAGAGCUGCAAAUUUCUUGGAAAAUUUUGAUGUGUAAGAUUGACCUUGCUUGUUACAUAUUGUAUAGAUAAUUAAACGCGUUUUGACAUCUAAUUGUAAUCAUUGCAUGCCCAUCAGCCAUGAUUCCAAAUGUCAAUAAUUAAACUCAUUUGCAGUUGUUUAUGAUGUUGAGUUGAGAGAAAAAGUUUUACCUUAUUAGUUAAGAAUUAAGAGAAGUGACUGGAGGUAAAUGCCCUUUUCACAUUUCCUUAUGAUUAUCUUUGAGCAUAACAAGCCUGGUCUGUAUACCUUUCAACAUUAAAUAUAAAUAUAUAUAUAAAAAAAAAUACCAAGUUAGGGGUAUUGAGAUUUCUCUUUAAAUAAAAGCGAAUAAACACAUGUGAUCAUUCUUCUUUAUAAAUGGAUAAAAUAAACUCUAAUUAUUAUGUAAAAGUGAUUAUGAACAUUAGACUUCAAGUUAAUUGUGGUCUCACUAAUAAUCACUUUCAUUUUGGUGAUUUAAUGAUAAUAAAUGAAUGUAAUUAAACAUCAAUGGCAAAUGGCAAUAGGCACCUCUACUAUAGCAAUAAGAAAGAUUUGAAUGACUUUAUUUAAAGCACAAAUUAUUUUAAAAUUCCACAAAUACCGGAUUAAUUGAAAAUCAACCUAUUCCUUCUUCGUUUUGUUUCCUAAUUCAGCGGUACCUUUAGCACAUGUCUCGCCGAUGAUGUACAAUAAUUAUAAUGAAAGAGUAUGUAGAGGAGUUGGUCAAAUCCAAUGGAAACAAGUACAAAAAUACUGUAACAUUCUUCAAGGAAAAUUAUCCUUUUUUUCUUUUCCCCCCUUGGUUCAUUGCAUAUGAAACAUAUUGCCUUAAAUUUGUUGUUAUACUGUCAUAUUUUAUUUAUGUACAUAUAAUUUUAUUAUCUAAAUUUUAAACUAAGUAUAGAAAUAAACAAAUGUAAUGUUCCAAAAAGAGGAAUCAUCUUUUGACAAGUUUCAACUCACAAUCAUUUAUUCAAUCAUAUUGUAUCUAAAGCAAAUGAUGAGUUCGUAUGCUCUGCAUGUUCUGAAUUUGGAAUGUUUGUGCCAAAGAAAUUAAAAUAUUGAUUUUAGCAAAAUGUCAAAUUAAAACAAUGACCUAAAUAUUACUUGUUUUAGUUAAAGGGGCAAAUUUCCUGACAUUCUUAUGGUUUAGUUUGGUCUAAUUCCCUAUUAAAUCCUUUGCUUGU
rnacentral:lncRNA from 1 species